GCAUGGUUGAAGAGCAAUGUCUGAGUUUCAUUAGUUAAAUUUCAUAGAUUUUUUAUUUACUAUUACUUUUGUCAGAUUCAAGUUAUUUCUGUGACCAUUGUGAGUUUUUCUUUCAUUAACUGAAGGAUACCAACUAUUUUGUCUACAUGUGUAUAAUCUUUAGAAGCCUUCAAAGUAGAGACGUUUUAGCUGUGGUCCCUCUUUACUUGCCACGCCCCAGUUUGAGUCAUCUGCUGAAUCUGUGUCAGUCAUGCGAGCUUGAGUUAUUAUGCUUUCUGCUUCAAUUAACUGAAAUUGACUUUUUUUGAUAAAUUCAUUUUGAUAAACUUGUCUGGCACUGAUCACAAACACAUGAAUGAUUUAGAGCAGUGAAAUGUGCAGCUAACGCCACACAUUUAAACAAUCAUACAAACAGCAGAUGGAGUUUGUCCCUGUGUGUGUUGCCGGCGUUUUGUUGUGAUGAUGUUUACGUUGACGUCAGCUCCCACUGGGCACCGCAGUUUUCUAACGUGGAAGCCAGCGGUCUUGUUUCUUUUAUUAAGUCGUUUUAGAUAUUUUUUUUAAUUUUUUUUUUUGAAUAUUGUGAUUUAAAAAUUUGUAAAUUAUGACAGAAUGAUCCACAGGUGUCAGAGAUUAUAACUAAAGAGGCACACAAGCAGAAUAGACUGAUUUAAACCCUGAUGAUUUAAACCCUGAGUGUCCAGAUGAGCACCACGGAAACGUCUCAACUUUGUCUCAUCUCUCUUUAUUUUUACCUUUAUUUUGAUUAAAAAUUUUAACAAAAGUAUUUCAAUAAUAUUAGUGUACAGUAAAAGUCAAAUACCCCCUCUUUAAUACCCCAUAGAAGUAAAAUAAUCCCUCUUUAAGUGUCUGUUCUAUAUUAAUCACUGGCAGUGGCUCUGGUGUUUUUAAUGAAGUCUGUAUUGUUGGUCUUUUUUGCAGUAAUGUUUGCACACUGUAGUACUAGUACUGUAGUAUUUAAAGUUUUAGUUCAAACUGAAGUAUCACGGGUAUUGUGCAGUAAUAAACUGAAGUGUGUUUUGUGGAGUUUGCUCUGUUGCCCUGCAGUCGUUCCACUUGGAUUUACAGUUUGUCUGACAGGUUAUGAUGCCUGUCCUGAAUUUGGAAGAUAAAACCUUUAAAUAAAAGUUAUACUUUUACACAAAUCAAGAAGCAGUUUGUAAAGAAAAGAUGAAACUUGUAGAAAAUAUCCCUCUGACACUGAUGGUGUCACACACUGAGAAUUCUGUCCAAACGUCCGGCUUAAUUUAAACAAGAAACACAUUUUUCUGAGACUUUAAACAUGAUUCUAACAAAAUAAAGAUGUUUUCUUACAUUACAGAAGUUUAGGCUCAUUCUUGCUCUGCAUGGAGCUAUAAUUACAGCUCCAUCCAGAGCAACACUGAGCUAAAAACUUCUCGACUAUUAUAAUAGUUCUUAUCGUAGAUCCAUCCUGCUAGGUAACAGUUAUGGAAGUGUGAUGUCAGGAGUAGUCUACACCAUCAGGAGCACUUUAACCUUGGGAUAUUUUCACAUUAUAAAUAUGAAAUGUACAAUAAGGAAUAUGUAUCGUGAUGAACAAUGCGCCCUGACAACGCCUUUGUCUUUAAAACCAGUCAAUAAAUCUGACAGUACUGUGCUUUGUGUCCUC
ensembl:lncRNA